ensembl:lncRNA
UUUCCCUUGGAAUAUUAGUCCUUUUGCCAUAGUUUCUGAGAGCUCAUGUAUGACUUAGGAUGUUAAGUUGUUAACCAUUUGUCAUGUGUUGCAAAUGAAACACUAUUUUUUGUUUUGUUUUACAGAAGUUAUAUAUUGAAAUAUAAUCACAUUCUGGAGUUCCCAUUGUGGCUCAGUGGAAACAAAUCUGACUAGUAACCAUGAGGACACAGGUUUGAUCCCUGGCCUCCCUCAGUGGGUUAAGGAUCCUGCAGUGCUGUGACAUAGGUCGCAUGUGGCUCAGAUCUGGUGUUCCUGUGGCUGUGGUGCAAGCCAGUGGCUACAGCUCUGAUUCAACCCCUAGCCUGGGAACCUCCAUAUGCUGAGAGUUUGUUCCUAAAAAGACAAAAAAAAAAAGAGAGAGAGAGAGAGAGAGAGAAACAUCAAAGAAACAUAAUCACAUUUUGCCUAAAAAAAAAAGUCUCGAUUAAGUCAGGCCAAGCCCAAUGUUAAUGACAAAUAUAGUUUGUACUUCUGUUUCCUCUCCUAUUAUUUAACUUAUAUUUUUGAUAGCCAUUUAUCCUAAAUCAUAAUAGUAAAAUGUACCAUAGAAUAUUGCUCUCAAUGGAAAAACCUUUGCAUCUUUGGACAUGAAAACAUAAAUUAUGAAAGCUUUUUCAUAAGAAUAUAGUUUUGAGUAGUUUGGUGGUUGACUGGUAUUUUGAUUGCCUUUUAUUCUUACCGUUUUGACCAUGAUUUACACUUUGAUGCUCUCCAGAGCCCAUGUUAACUAGUAAAAAUAGAAGAUAUUUAAGAGUCAACUCCUAAAUCAGAAUAAAAUCAAAUGAUUUUUCUGUUUACUUAUUUAAAAACAAUAACUAUAGGAAUGCCCACCAUUUACAAUUGUUAGGCACAUUAUCAGUGUAAAACAAUGCUAUCUUAAAUGUAAGUUUAGAAUGAUUUCACUCAUUAAAAUGUCACAGAACCUCAUCAAGCUCAUCAAAACUAUAUGGCUUAAAAUAUACUUAGCAGUUUCAUGAUCUGAAAUCUUACAUAUUUUUGAUACAUUUCUCUAAAAGAUAGAAAAUUUGGAGAAAAUUUCAUUUGGGUGGAACGUCAGGAAAUAAAAUUCAGUCCAAGACUUAAAAAUGUUCAAGAUAAAACUGAAGAUUAAACUGCUCCAAAAUCUAUUUUAGGUAAAAAAUAAACCUUUCUUUUAGCAUUAGUAAUUGGGUAAUUUACACUGCCUUAUAUGCUUUAUUCAGGUCUAGAGGUAAUACUUUAAUCUCAUUAAAAUUUGUUUACGAAACUGCCAUAGAUUUUUCAAGCUUUAAUAAAAUUAUAACGCACUCCUAGAAUAGGCCAGAUGAUUGAAAAGGUUAUUUAGAACUAUCUCCUAACUUACAAUAUAACACACAUGAUAUAUAUAUAUAUACAUAUUUCUUUCAAAAAGCCAAGAUAUAUGAAAUGAUUGGCAGGAAUUCUUUAUCAGAACAAAAUCUCCUAGAACUAGAAAUGAAUGCUUUUUUCCACAUACAAACUCUUUGGUUGCAUAGAAGUAUCCAUGGAAACCCUUACCUGUUAGAAGUUCUAAUAUGCAUAUGCAAGGUUAUUUUCUUUCACAUUUUUCUUCAACAAAAACGUGAACAGAAUGGAAAGCAUUAAACCACUAGAAAACUCUGAGGUCUUAGAUAAUAGACCCAUUAUAUUUUUAUAGUUUCUAUUUGGCACAAAACUAAAUGACAUUUUAGAACAUGAUCGAUAGAUAAAAUAAGGAUUAUUGAACUUCCUAUUAUACUUAUGAAAACAAAUUUAUGAUUUUAGUUUUUAGCUUAGGAACCAGAAUUGAUGCAUAUUCAACUUAACAGAAUAUUCACCAUUUUUCAGUCAAAUAAAACAUGUAGUUAUAAACAAAGAGGUUCUUUCUAAAGCCUCCUAAAUUUGGAUAAAGUAGGGAAUUGAAGGCAGGAGCUAGAGGGAGAUGAAGCCUCCAGAAAAGCCAAAGACUUUCUGAAAUCAAUAGUUUCAUAGAAUGAUAGAACUGUGGAAAUAAAUGACGUUCAAAUGAGAACAGGCAAAGACAAUUUAUUCAGGGCUUUCUAUAGCAAGGGAGUUGCUACUGUCAUUUGCUUUUUAGCAGAGACUCAAAGGCAUGCAGAAUGGGAAAGCUUAAUAGUGGGGAUAAGGGAAGGCUUCAGAUGUGCCCUGACUGGAGGCUGAUGGCCAGGAAGCUGGAGGUAGGCUAAAUAGAAGCAGGGCAGCCUAUGCUCUUGGCUAGUGUGCCUAUCUGUUUUUUUUCCAGGGGGGUACUAAGUUUGAAGCUGGGACAAAAAGUUAUGAAUCAAGUCCUGAUUGCCUGGGGCCAAUGGCUACAGAAGUUGUGGUUUGGCUUUCUGCACUGGUUGCUGCAUAUUGAGGGUCAGAGUUCUGUUUUUAUAUAUGGUCUGGCUGUUGUUCUUUUGGUCCCUCAGAACCAAAGACUGGUUAGUGAUUUCAUUAACUAGCUAAAAACUUGAGUUCUAAGGCAGUCUACAUGAAGAAUAGGUUGGGGGAGGGAUGGAUUGUGCAUUUGGGACUGGCAUAUGCAUACUGAGGUAUAUGGAAUGACUGGUCAAUGAGAACCUGCUGUAGAGCACAGGGAACUCUACUCAAUAUUUUAUGAUAAUCUAUUUGGGAAAGAAUUUGAAAAAGAAUGGAUGUGUGUAUAACUAAAUUACUUUGUUGUACAUCAAAAAUUAUCACAACAUUGUAAACCAACUAUAAUUCAAUAAAACUUAAAAAAAAAAAGACAAGUAAGCCAAGCACAGGAAAAUGAGUAAUAAUAAGAGAGAAUGGCAGUGGAAAGGAGAGAAAAUUAAAGAAAUGGAAAGAAGUGUGAACUGCAGUAUAGGAAUGAGGUAGAGGUAGGGAAAAGAAAAAAACAAAACAGAGGCAAACAGGUUAAGCCUUUUUUUGUGUCUCUUUUCUGAAAGGGGAUAUUCUCAUAUUCAAUAAUGAACUUAACACAGCAGGCCCAUGCAUUUUGAAUGAAUUAAGAAAUUUUCAAUUACAUGGAAAUAAAUAUAUAGAAUAGGAAAUUUAAUGAAAUACAAAAGCCCUUUGCUAUUUUAGUUGAUAUGUUUUAACACUAUGAGCCAGUGUUUGUGUAUCAGGACUAUUCUUUCGAAACUAGAUUAAAUUAUAAGCUUUUCAGGUGAGGCUUAGAGAUCAAAAUGUCUUUAUUCAAGGGCAUCUGGGCAAGGGAACAAGCACAUCCAUCAUAGAGUAUUCAAUAGUCCUUAGCUGCCUUAUGCAUCAGAUCUUCUGCCCAAACUUCCCACAGAUUGCUCUGGUCCUGUCGGUCUACAUCAUUCUCUGUUCCUGGGCCCAUCUGUGCUGUGUUGGCAGCUAGAAUUUUGCAUACUUAAUCUGUCUCAUGUAUGUUUUUUAAAACACCUCAACAUAAAGAAUGAUAUAUAUAAGUUCAUUAAUUUUAACUUUUCAUGUGAAAGUUGCCUUGUUACAGGUGAUUCUGGUAAAUUGAACCUGCAUGUGAGGGGCCUCAAAUCAAAGGCCAGAAUAUGGGAUAUGGUCCAGCAUGACUCCAACAACUUCCAGGAGAGAAAAAGGAGGCAGCACACUACACCUACUCAAUUCUAUUCUCUGCUCAGAGGAGCAGAAGAUAAUUAUUUUCAUUAUAUUUGAUUUUUUUUUUUCAUUUUGAAAGCAUUCUUUAAUUUUUUUCAGGAUUUUUAAGGAAAAUUUGGUUGUUUUAUAAAUAUCACAUGAGUCAUAUGGUCAGUAAAACAAUGGGGGGAAUUAGCAAUGAGAUAUGCUAUUUGGUUAAUCAUUCACAAUUGAUUUUGUUCCCCUUAAUUGACUCAAUACUGGUAAUUAAUUAUGGGGUUUUUUGCUUGUUUUUACUUACCUCAUAAAAUCUGAGUCUUGAAUAUCAGGACAAUCUAUGUUUCAAGGUGCAUUUCAUUUGUGCCAUCUACAUAUAUGGAUAUCAAAGACUUUGAACACACAGGCUCAAGUCUUGCUUUGCCUUUUCUUCAUAAAUCCUGAUGAGGCCUGAGAGUGCGGAUGUAUAUUUAUUCUGUAUAGUAGGUAGAGUGAGAAUUGCUAUGGCUCACAGAGUACUCGUAGUUGCUUUUAUAUAUAUAUUCACCAGUCAUCUGUCUUCCUCCAGAACCUUACCUUAUGACCACAUUCCUGUGAUGAUUUCCUGAUUUUCAUAUGCGCUAAACUGAAACACAAUUUCAACUAGGGGUUCUGCUCUCCUUUGUCAUACAGUUUAUUGUGAGAGGUGAAGGAAUACUCAUUCUUCAGACCUCUAGCCAAUGGACCACAUCUUGUUCAGACAGAGCUCCCUGAAGCCACAAUUCAGGCCCUCUGUGAGAGAUGGCUACUGACCUACUUCUCCGAGCAACAUCGAUCUCAUGGCCUGAAAAGCCACCCUCAUGGAACAAGCCAGUGAUUGUUACCCAGUCAUGAAUAUGACUUCAUAGCUUCCUUAUAUGUGAGAUGGAGGUACAUCUGCAGUUUGGAUUGUCUGUUCAUCCUGGUUCCAUUUAUUUUUUUUCUCAUUACCAUUUUCCCAGUACCCUGCUGUAGAGAAAUAUCACAGCAUUUGUGUUUAUAGGGAUGACAAGGACACCUCCAAGGGAAUGAGUGGAAUGGCCACACACCCUGUACAUACCAUACAGACAAGAUUCAUAGGGACAAGGAUUCAGAUCUCAGCUCAGACAAUGACUAGCUAUGUGAUUUUAGAUGAAUGAUAUGUUGGAUCCCUUUCUUCAGCUACAAAAUACUAAUCAUAAUUCUUAUAUCUUAAUGAUUUUGUAAGGAUUUAAUGAGAUAAUAUAAGGUAAAACUAUGUAAUGUAUAUAAAAUAUCUAGCACAGAUUAAGUAAUGGAUAUUGUUAGUUUUUGCCCCCCUUUGGUAGGAAAGAAGAUCUGAAAUAUGUUUUUAUUACCGUAUACACUUUCUUUCUAAGAGUCUAUAGCUCCAUUAUACAUGCCAAGUUGAUUUUUGUUAGUCACUGUUAGGGCCUCUGAAGUCCUUUUGAAUGAUGAAGUGGAAAAUAAUGAACCCUGGCUCUUAGGGAAAAUACAGAGUUAGCUCCCAGUAAGCCUCAAGUCACAAUAUUUUCAUCAAUGGAUCCAAAUAUAACCAAGUGUUAUAUGUAUUUUUGUUUAAAGACACCUAUUUAAUAUGUAUUAUUGGUUCGUUAACACUGAACUCAGAGCCACAGCACUGUAACCCAUGCCUGAACGAAGCUUAUCAAACAUAUGCCAUUUUCUCUGUAAAGCACAUCAUAAUCAUCUUGCACUUAGGAACCUAGACAGCAUUUCGGCACUAAGUCUAGUGGCCAUUUUAAACAGUGAAAUCACCAACGAAAGGCGGAAAAAAAAAAAAAAAAAAAAAAAAAAGUAUCAGUAAACAGACUGCAAAAAGGAUACAUUUACAGCAUGAGAGCCUAAAUAAGACUGAGUGGCUUUAUAUGACACCUGCGGGGCCACUUGAGUUUUUUACCUCUCUGCACAGAUGCAUAAAUGACUAUAGAAACACCAUUCUUGUCUAUUGACCUAGGGAUUACAAAUAAAUUUUAUUGAGUAGGCAAAUUCACAAAUGUGGAAUUCACAAAUAAUGAGGAUCAUAUUACAUGGCAGGCAAGUUUCCCUUUUGCUACUGAAUGUACAUGAAUACUGCUGUCAACCAAAAGCGUUCAUACUGAACUUACACUGAAUGUACAUGAUGGCAUGUUUCUUUAUGCCAUUUCCCUGGCUGCACCCUGAUUUUCAGCUGAGCUACCGGUGUACACUCAAUGAAGUGAUAUAUGACCCUAUGCUCUGAAGGGCCCCACACCUGGUUUAAUACUCAGCUGUCACCAUUUCAAAAUUCAGAGCAUUUUUGAACAAGGGGCUCCACAUUUUCAUUUUUCCAUGAGUCCUGCACAUUGUCUAGCCAGUCCUGACUGUCAAUCCAUGAAAGCCAUUUUAAAUUUUCUGACUUCUGGUAGAGCUAUGACAUCCAAUUAAUGCCACCACAACAGGAAAGAGAACUCUAGGAUCCAGAGACAAUGAGAAGGAAUCCAUAGUAUUUUGUAGAGCAGAAAUUUUUAAUUUUAAUGAAAUUCAAUUUUUCUUUUAUGAAUCAUGACCUUGGUAUGUAUCUAAAAACUCAUUACCAAUCCUAAGGCCAUACAGAUUUUUUAAAAUUCUAUUUUCUGGGGAGUUCCCGUCGUGGCGCAG